ACCACCACCACCAACAACAACCGUAUCGGUCCUUCCUUCCUCUACCUCUGAACGAGAACGCGAACGCGCCGCCCUGUGAUUACUACGACCCCAGCAUGUGCUCAGGACCUCGCAAGCCGUCCACUCCUCCUCUGCCAACGGCGACGGCCAAGGACUCCUCGGCGAUGACGGCGGCGGCGGCGGUCCUUCUGGAGCUGGCGGCGGCGGACGACGUGGUUGCCUUCAGGCGCGCCGCGGAGGACGACAAAGCCCCGGCCUUGGACGCCGUGGCCCACUGGUACGGCCCGUCCGCGGGCGCCGGCCGCCUCCGCCUCGAGGCGCGCACGCCGGCCAUGGUCGCCGCGCUCUACGGCAGCGCUUCGGUGCUGGCGUACGUGCUGUCGUCCGCGCCGGCGGAGGCCGCGCGCGCGUCGCCCACGGACGGAGCCACGCCGCUCCACCUCGCGGCGGCCGGUGGCGCCGCGGGCGCCGUCGCGGCCACGCACCUCCUCCUCGCCGCGGGCGCGUCCGCGGACGCGCUCGCCUUCUCGGGACUCCGCGCUGGGGACCUCCUCCCGCGCGCCAACGCUGCCGCUGACAGGGACCGGGCGCUCCGCGUGCUCCUCAAGUCCCCCGCCGCGUCGCCGUCGUCCUCGCCCAAGAAGUCCGCCUCGCCUCCGCCGCCUUUGGCCGCGGCGGCGGCGGCGGCGGCGGCGGCGCUGCCGGCGGAGCCGAGGAAGGAGUACCCGC
rnacentral:lncRNA from 1 species